UCAGACGAUGCGUCAUGCAUAUCAAUAAGCGGAGGAAAAGAAACUAACAAGGAUUCCCCUAGUAACGGCGAGUGAAGCGGGAAGAGCUCAAAUUUGAAAUCUUAAAGGGUUUCCCUUUACGAAUUGUAGUUUAAAGAAGUGUUUUCUGUUGAGGUUUUGGUAAAAGUUCUUUGGAAUAGGACAUCAUAGAGGGUGAGAAUCCCGUAUUUGACCUUUACUUUCAACUUUGUGAUACACUUUCAAAGAGUCGGAUUGUUUGGGAAUGCAGUCCAAAAUGGGUGGUAAAUUUCAUCUAAAGCUAAAUAUUGGCGAGAGACCGAUAGCGAACAAGUACCGUGAGGGAAAGAUGAAAAGAACUUUGAAAAGAGAGUUAAACAGUACGUGAAAUUGUCAAAAGGGAAGCGUUUGACACCAGUGUUGUUUUUCUGAAAAUCAAUUAAAGAACUGUUUAUGCUAAGUUGUUUAGACUUUAUCAGCUAUCUGUUUAGUUUUGAGCUUUUCCUUUAAUGCACUUUUCAGUUAACAAGUCAACAUCAAUUUCUUUUGCUGUAAAAAAGCUUGAGGAAGGUGGCUUGAGAUUCGUCUUAAGUGUUUAUAGCCUCUUGCCUAUGCAGUCGGAGAGAUUGAGGUCUGCAGCGUAAAUCCUUCGGGGCUAAAUGCAUUUGUGCUAAGUUAUAGCAUUUUAUAGACAACUUGUUGACUAUGAUUUGUCUUGUAGCUUACUCGCUUAUGUUAUUUUACCUACGCUUAGGAUGUUGAAGUCAUCGUAUCGCGC
rnacentral:rRNA from 1 species